rnacentral:tRNA from 1 species
AGGGGUGCAGCUCAGUUGGCCAGAGCGCCGGUCUCCAAAACCGGAUGCCACCCCUUCAACCCCUGCCA